rnacentral:rRNA from 1 species
UAAGCCCCGGCUAACUUCGUGCCAGCAGCCGCGGUAAAUACGAAGGGGCUAGCGUUGCUCGGAAUCACUGGGCGUAAAGGGCGCGUAGGCGGCCUUGUAAGUUGGGGGUGAAAGCCCCGUGGCUCAACCACGGAAUUGCCUUCGAUACUGCUUGGCUUGAGUGUGGUAGAGGUUGGUGGAACUGCGAGUGUAGAGGUGAAAUUCGUAGAUAUUCGCAAGAACACCGGUGGCGAAGGCGGCCAACUGGACCAUCACUGACGCUGAGGCGCGAAAGCGUGGGGAGCAAACAGGAUUAGAUACCCUGGUAG